rnacentral:rRNA from 1 species
CCUACGGGUGGCAGCAGUGGGGAAUAUUGCACAAUGGGGGAAACCCUGAUGCAGCGACGCCGCGUGAGUGAAGAAGUAUUUCGGUAUGUAAAGCUCUAUCAGCAGGGAAGAAAUAGCGACCUUUGGGUCGCCAGACGGUACCUGACUAAGAAGCCCCGGCUAACUACGCGCCAGCAGCCGCGGUAAUACGUAGGGGGCAAGCGUUAUCCGGAUUUACUGGGUGUAAAGGGAGCGUAGACGGCAGCACAAGUAUGAGGUGAAAUGCCGGGGCUGAACCCCGGAACUGCUUUGGAAACUGUGCAGCUAGAGUGCAGGAGAGGUAAGUGGAAUGCCUGGUGUAGCGGUGAAAUGCGUAGAUAUUAGGAGGAACACCAGUGGCGAAGGCGGCUUACUGGGCUGUAACUGACGUUGAGGCUCGAAAGCGUGGGGAGCAAACAGGAUUAGAUACCCCGGUAGUC